rnacentral:RNase_P_RNA from 1 species
CUUCGGCAGAGGAAAGUCCAUGCUCGCACUCCCUGCGAUGGGAGUAGUGAUUGCGCUAAGGGAAACGAUAACCUUAGGUAGGGAGGAGUCCCUAACGGCGGAGGAAGUUCUCAUCGAGAACGGAAUCCCCAAGGUGCCACAGAGACGAGCUUGGCAGCGAUGCCAAGAUGAAACGCGGUAAACCCCGCAAGCGAGAAACCCAAAAUUGGUAGGGGAAGUCGUCAAGCCGAACUGAAGGCGAGACGGCCAGCAUAGCUGAGAUAAAUUGUCGCCCUCGACAGAACAUGGCUUACAG